UACGUAGGGGGCAAGCGUUGUCCGGAAUUAUUGGGCGUAAAGCGCGCGCAGGCGGUUGUUUAAGUCUGGAGUUUAAGUUCGGGGCUCAGCCCCGUAUCGCUCUGGAAACUGGGGAACUGGAGUGCAGGAGAGGAAAGUGGAAUUCCACGUGUAGCGGUGAAAUGCGUAGAGAUGUGGAGGAACACCAGUGGCGAAGGCGGCUUUCUGGUCUGUAACUGACGCUGAGGCGCGAAAGCGUGGGGAGCAAACAGG
rnacentral:rRNA from 1 species